rnacentral:rRNA from 1 species
CACCUAGCUCCAUUCCGAACCUAGAAGUUAAGCUCUUCUUCGCUGAUGAUACUGCAACUUUCAGAUGUGGUAAAGUAGG